rnacentral:rRNA from 1 species
AGUGAACGCUGGCGGUAGGCCUAACACAUGCAAGUCGAACGGCAGCACAGUAAGAGCUUGCUCUUACGGGUGGCGAGUGGCGGACGGGUGAGGAAUACAUCGGAAUCUACUUUUUCGUGGGGGAUAACGUAGGGAAACUUACGCUAAUACCGCAUACGACCUACGGGUGAAAGCAGGGGAUCUACGGACCUUGCGCGAUUGAAUGAGCCGAUGUCGGAUUAGCUAGUUGGCGGGGUAAAGGCCCACCAAGGCGACGAUCCGUAGCUGGUCUGAGAGGAUGAUCAGCCACACUGGAACUGAGACACGGUCCAGACUCCUACGGGAGGCAGCAGUGGGGAAUAUUGGACAAUGGGCGCAAGCCUGAUCCAGCCAUACCGCGUGGGUGAAGAAGGCCUUCGGGUUGUAAAGCCCUUUUGUUGGGAAAGAAAAGCAGCAGGUUAAUACCCCGCUGUUCUGACGGUACCCAAAGAAUAAGCACCGGCUAACUUCGUG